AUACGGAGGAUGCAAGCGUUAUCCGGAUUUAUUGGGUUUAAAGGGUGCGUAGGCGGUUUGCUAAGCGGGAGGUGAAAUGCCGGCGCUCAACGUCGGAAGUGCCUCCCGAACUGGUGGACUUGAAUGACUCUGCCGUGGGAGGAAUGUGUAGUGUAGCGGUGAAAUGCUUAGAGAUUACACAGAACACCGAUUGCGAAGGCAUCUCACGAAGGGUUGAUUGACGCUGAGGCACGAAAGCGUUGGGAUCAAACAGGAUUAGAUACCCUGGUAGGCCACGCAGUAAACGAUGAUGGCUAACCGCUGGGCUUAUCAGUUCAGUGGCCAAGCGAAAGCGAUAAGCCAUCCACCUGGGGAGUACGACCGCAAGGUUGAAACUCAAAUGAAUUGACGGGG
rnacentral:rRNA from 1 species